ACACCUACUCCUCCUCCCACUCAGCUGUUCCAUGCCAGCUCCUCCUUUAAUCAACACCAUAGCGCUUGUUACAGCAUCACUGACUCUGGGCACAAGGUCUCCACUUCCUUUCACAUCCUAGUGGUCAUUUGUAGUAAGUUUCUACAAUAGAAGGACUGUAGAUUUCCAUGUUCCUGUUCACCCAGACGAGUAGUGACACUGAUAAUGUGACUUUGUAUGCAACCUGAGAAAUAUGUGCUAGCGUGGUGAAGAUGGUGAAGACGGCCGCAGAGAAAGGACACGGAGCGGUGGUCUUGGGUAGCUGGUCGGCUUGCUGUGAGACUUUGUUUACCGACUUUGAGGUAAGAAAAGUAAAAUUUCACAUGUAGAUUAUUGCUUGGCGAUAGCUCAUAUUAGUGGAGGUUAAAUGUUGUAACUUGCGUUGUCUAAACCAGCAGUUUCUGUAGUUUAAUUCGAUGUGUAAAAUCGAUGCUAGUUUCAAACACACAUGCGUCGUGACGGACCAGGGCGGAGUCGGUUAAAAUCAUAACGUUACACUCUUUA